CCGAACCCGAUGGUAGGCCGAUUCGGA
rnacentral:sRNA from 1 species